rnacentral:rRNA from 1 species
GACGAACGCUGGCGGCGUGGAUUAGGCAUGCAAGUCGAACGGUAGGAUACCUUCGGGUAUCUGAGAGUGGCGAACGGGUGAGUAACACGUAGGUGAUCUACCCUCAAGAUUGGGACAACCCAGGGAAACUUGGGCUAAUACCGGAUGAAAGCAGCAGUGAUGUUGUUUGAAAGGUGGCGUAAGCUGCCGUUUGGGGAUGAGCCUGCGCUCUAUUAGUUAGUUGGCGGGGUAAAGGCCCACCAAGGCGAUGAUAGAUAGGCGGCCUUAACGGGUGGUCGCCCACACUGGGAUUGAGAUACGGCCCAGACUCCUACGGGAGGCAGCAGUCGAGAAUAGUCUACAAUGGCCGAAAGGCUGAUAGUGCGACGCCGCGUGAACGAAGAAGCCCUUCGGGGUGUAAAGUUCUUUUAUUAUGUGAGCAGUGCUUUCUAUGUGAACAGCAUGGGGAGAGAGAUAUUAGCAUAUGAAUAAGCAACGGCUAACUCCGUGCCAGCAGCCG